rnacentral:rRNA from 2 species
UCCAAGUGAAGCAGAGGACAGUGGCGGACGGGUGAGUAACGCGUGAGGAACCUGCCUUUCAGAGGGGGACAACAGUUGGAAACGACUGCUAAUACCGCAUGACACAUUGGGGUCGCAUGGCCUUGAUGUCAAAGAUUUAUCGGCAUAAGAUGGGCCUGCGUCUGAUUAGCUAGUUGGUGAGGUAACGGCCCACCAAGGCGACGAUCAGUAGCCGGACUGAGAGGUUGACCGGCCACAUUGGGACUGAGAUACGGCCCAGACUCC